rnacentral:misc_RNA from 1 species
AUUUAAGUUUCAUUUUCUAUUGCUAUCUCUUUUGCUUAUCAAUUUUUCAGAAUCAAGAUUUGCAAGACCAAUUUCAUUACAACAACAUAAUACUAUUAAGUUAUCUUCAUAUUUGAAGAUGUUUGAGACACUUGGAAUGGUUUGCAAGUGUUGUGAUGGUGAUAAUAUUGGACAAGAUUUGUGUAGUGCUACUUGGGAUGGUUCUUGUUCUAAUCUUAAGUGUGUUCCAUGGAAAUCUCAAUGAUUUUUUUUUUCAAUUUUGGUUUGUUUUUG